AUUGAACGCUGGCGGCAUGCCUAACACAUGCAAGUCGAACGGUAACAGGCCCUUCGGGUGCUGACGAGUGGCGGAUGGGUGAGUAGUACUUAGGAAUCUACCCUGUAGUGGGGGACGAACCCGGGGAAACCGUACGGGCGUAAUACCGCAUACACUCUACGGAGGAAAGACGGGGACCGGCAAGGCCUCGCGCUAUUGGAUGAGCCUAAGCCCGAUUAGCUAGUUGGUGGGGUAAUAGCCUACCAAGGCAGUGAUCGGUAGCUGGUCUGAGAGGACGACCAGCCACACUGGGACUGAGACACGGCCCAGACUCCUACGGGAGGGCAGCAGUGGGGAAGUAUUGGACAAUGGGCGAAAGCCUGAUCCAGCGAUGCCGCGUGUG
rnacentral:rRNA from 1 species